CUCCUGAGUGGCUGGAAUUACAGGUGCGCACCACCACACCCAGCUAAUUUUUGUAUUUUUAGUAGAGACGGGGUUUCAUCAUGUUGGCCAGGCUGGCCUCGAACUCCUGACUUAAAGUGAUCUGCCCGCCUCAGCCUCCCAAAGUGCUGGGAUUACAGGCGUGAGCCACCACACAGAGCAAAAGUUUUCCAAAAUGAUUUUUCUUUCCUGUUGUAGUUCGAUAUCUCAAUGCCUAUACUGGAAUAGUGCUACUUCGAUGCAGAAAAGAAUUCUAUCAGCUUGUGUGGUCAGCUCUUCCCUUCAUCACAUACUUGGAGAACAAAGGACACCGUUACCCAUGCUUUUUCAACACAUUACAUGUGGGAGGUACAAUAAGAACAUGUCAGAAGUUCCUAAUUCAGUACAACAGGAGACAGCUGUUGAUCUUGUUGCAGAACUGCACUGAUGAAGGAGAGCGGGAAGCUAUCCAGAAGUCUGUGACAAGAAGCUGCUUA
rnacentral:lncRNA from 1 species